UACAGAGGUCCCGAGCGUUGUUCGGAUUCACUGGGCGUAAAGGGUGCGCAGGUGGGUUGGCAAGUUUGAUGUGAAAGCCCCCGGGCUUAACCCGGGAAUGGCAUUGAAUACUGCUGAUCUGGAGGAUUGGGAGGGGGGACUGGAAUUCUUGGUGUAGCAGUGAAAUGCGUAGAUAUCAAGAGGAACACCAGUGGCGAAGGCGAGUCCCUGGACAAUACCUGACACUGAGGCACGAAAGCUAGGGGGAGCAAACAGG
rnacentral:rRNA from 1 species